GCCGGCCCGAGUUGGCGGCAGCGCUGGAGGCCCCGGGCCGGUGACCACAAAGAGGGAGCCGGGGCCGGACGGGAGCGCGGCGGCGGCGGCGGCUGAGGCCCAGGCCAGGCCCCCUCCCCUCAGCCUCCCUCCCGCCCGCCCGCCUGCCCCGCCCCCGCCGACGGCGCCCCGCCCCUCCCCCAACCGCCAGACUAGCCUGGUGCGGGGACCGCGCGCGAAGACAUGGGGGAGAAGUUGGAGCUGAGGCUGGAGUCGCCCGUGGGGGCCGAGCCCGCCGUCUACCCGUGGCCGUUGCCAGUUUCGUUGUGACAGAAAUAAAGUUUCCAGAAGUUGUGUUCCUGCAAAAAGAAAUAAAGAUGUGACCUUCCAGUUGUGUAAAGCUCAUGAAUGCUGUGUAAGUGCGUCGGGUGCAGUAAGGAACCUGGAGCUAAAUGGGCUAGUUCUGAGAGAGAGAGACUUAACUACGUUAACAAAGUUCCAGAAAUGACGUCUGCUGAAGGAGAACAUGUUCUAGCAAUGAAAUCUUCAAAAGGCUCCUGCCGCUGCUCUGUGACUGGGACCCCCAGGUUGUCUUUGGAAGUUUCUAAGGCCUCCUGAGUAGAGACUGGGACAUGGAAGGAGUCGAGAGGCAAAGGAAUCCCAGCAUCACCUGUAAUUUUCUGAAACUGGAGGGAAAGACAAAAGACAAGACAAAAAUUCAGUGAUGAACAAAGCCAACCAUUAAAAAGCACAUGUAAACAGUAUAUAGUUUGUGACCAGACUGUGUUCUCAAGCUGUCAGUUCCCAAGACCAGUCUGAGAUUGGCUGAGGUGGGCGAAGGGGGCUCCAAGUAAGGC